UUUUUUUUUUUUUUUUUUCUUAACGCCUACAAAUUGCUUUUAAUUCUCCAUGAUCAGGUUGACAAUUGCCAGUGUAGGUAUUUAUAGAGAAAGAUAAAGUCGGAGCUACCUACACUGUGUCUAUAAAUACAGCUGAAUGUAUAGAACGUGAUGGUGACAGCCAUCUUGGCUCUCUCAGAUGUGAGUGUGUUUAGGAAGAUUUGAAUAUGGAAGAUUUGUAUUUGAAUAAAUCAGUUUUUGUAUUUUGUGUGGCUUUUUACUUUCAAGGGUGACUUUGAAAGAAAUUUUGCCCGGGGACACCAGAGAGUUAGCUUCAACACAUUUCAUCUGGAAAAUGGUGAUUUUCUGGAGAAUGGAGCUGGGGCUCACACCGUCUCUGUCUCUCUCUCUGUCUCUCUCCCACUCUCUCUCUCUUCUCAGGAGUGCCUUGAGGAGUUAACAGCCCAAGGAUAACUGCCUCAAUUCACUUUGGGGUGUAGAACUGGAUAUUACAAGUCACUUCUUACUUUUGACUUGAGACUAGCAACUCUUUUCCUCAUCAGGUGGUUAAGGACACAUUUGGAGCAGGAAUGGAAGAAGCAUCCUGAAGGCUUUUUGAAAAACCAAAGACCUCAAAACUCUGAAUGGGCUGGAGUCUGUGGUUCUUUUUUUGUGGAGCUGGACAUCACCUCAGGGUAUUUCCAAAUUAAAUUAAUAGUUAUAAAAUAAUAGUGGCACUAGUACUUGAACCACUGCAAAGUGGCCCUCUAGGAGAAGGUAGUGCAAUCUUCCUGCAUUGCUUGGAGAGGACCCAAGGCCUUUGGGUGUCCAGUGAAUCUUGCCAUCUGGCUCCUGCUGGGCCCCCGAUGUGGCCUCACCUUGUGCCGUCUCUUCCUCCUUGGACUUCAGCUGUUUUCCUACUGCUUCAUGUUGCCUGGAAGCCUCUGCUCCUGGCUCUUACAUGUUGAGUUUCUUCUCACCCUCAGCGUCUCUUCUUACAGGUUAGUUCCUUGUUGAAACUGCCUCCCAGUAAAGCUUUACCAAACUAUCAGCUUGAAAAAGGAGCAAGCCAGCCCCACAUCUAUAGACUUCAUCAUAUAUGCAUGUUAGCUAUAGUUAUUUAAUUGACCUUGAGAGUAAAUCUGACCUUAUUAACCACUGAGCCAUGACAGGAACUCUGCAAACCAGCCGUGAAAUCAAUGCUGUGUAUUUUGGGGUAGCUUUGAAAAAGAAAGAAUAUACCUCUACCCCCCAUAAAACCCCCAAACAAAAAUAAUGCCAGGAGAUUGUUCAAGAGUGAUGAUCAUGUUAACUCUUUUCAACGUUCUGUCCUUGUAGGUUGGGGGUCGACACCACAACUAGACCUAAUCUUUAUUAACACAUGGUCUUGGAAUUCCCGUCAUGGCUCAGUGGUUAAUGAACCUGACUAGCAUCUAUGAGGACAUGGGUUCGAUCCCUGGCCUCGCUCAGUGGGGUAAGAAUCCGGCUUUGCCAUGAGCUGUGGUGUAAGCUGCAAAUGCAGCUUGGAUCCUGCAUUGCUGUGGCAUGGGCCAGCAGCUGUAGUCCCGAUUCAUCCACUAGCCUGGGAACCUCCAUAUGCCACAAGUGCAACCCUAAAAAGACAAGACAAUAAAAAACAAAGACGUAACAACACAUUGUUCGUGUUCUUACCUCCAAAGAGAUACCUUUGGGCCUUAUGUUUUUCAAGAUGAUUCUUGAAUCAUGGUGCUUUUAAGUUGCUUGUCUUUCUUAUCAAUUAGCAACAUUUCGUUUAUCCUAAAUAUGGCAAUUAGUCUUCAUUUGUAUUUUUAGUUUUUCACUUUUUUUUUUUUUGCUAUUUGAAACAUAUUUUCUGUGAAAAAUAUUUUCUCUGCCAAAAUCAAUUUUCUUUUUUUAAAUGAAUAAGGUCAAACUUACUCUCGAGGUCAAUUAAAUAGCUACUACUAUGUGCAUAUAUGAUCAAGUCUACAGAUGUGGAGCUGGCUUGCUCCUUUUUUAUGCUGAUAGUUUGGUAAAGCUUUGCUGGCCUGGGAGCAGCAUCUUUGGAUUGGAUAUUGCAUAAAUUCUUGUUACACAGCACUGCAUGGAAUUAUCCCAAUGUGGGCAUCGGUGUUGAACACAGCCAACCAUAAAAUUCCAUUUCGUUUCUGUUGCAUAAACAUAGGAUCACAAAUAGUGUGAUUAUUUCUGGCAGCCUCAGGCAUCUUAGCUAGGAGGAAGAUGUAGGAAAAUAUGAAUACUUAAAUGUAUUAUGAGCUUCCCAGCAUGAACUGACCAAGUGCCUUUGGCAGUAGCCUUUAAAAGGGUCAGAUAUAAAAACAUCUAAUCCCAUCAUUUGCUGAGUUCUUACGGUGUGCAAGGCACUGUUUUCAUGGUUCAUUUGCCUUAUCGCAGGUAGCCUUCAACACUGUACUGUGUUAGAUGCUCAUCUUACAACUGAGGGAAUGGUGACCCAGUGAGGUCAUGAGACUUGCCAAAAUUGUACAGUUCAAGACAGAGGUAGGAUUUGAACCCAUAUCGUUUGACCCCAGAACAUUCAACAACCACCACCACUACCAACACAGCAAUCUUGGUCACGUGGUCAGAAACAAUUGACUUGUCCUACCAUUUCUUUGAUGUUUAUUGGCUUUCCCUUGCAGAUUUCCAGGGCUAUUAGGCCAUGUUCUCUUCUUUGUCUCUUUCAUUUGAGAGGCAGGUAGUCCCUCAGAGACAUGAGGAAGGCUAAUCUUGACCAAGAUCAACCUAGAGGAAACCAGUGAAACCCCUCAUUUGCCCUUUACUUUAAGCUAAAGAAGCUAAAGUCCAGCAUAGUUAUGUUGGCUGUCUGCAGAGGGGACCGCCAAUUAUGAAACCCAUAUGGUGAAGGAUCUGUGGUCAGACAAGCAAAACUGUUUAAGCAGAGCGUCUGCCGCGAUUCUGUGAUUCAGAUCCUCAAAGCAAAUAGAUAUCUUCAGGAAGACACAGCCAGGGAUGAUAAAUAUGUAAAACCAGGGGAGGUAUAAGACCUGAGUCUACCCUGAGCCUGAGUCUACCCUGUAGGAUGUGUGCUCUCUUCAAAUUAGAAAAGUAACAAUGUGAGUUCCAGUUGUGGCUCAGGUGUUUAAGUGUCUGUAAUGUUGGGGUUCGGUCCCUGGCCUUGUUCAGUGGGUUAAGGAUCUGGCGUUGCUGCAAGCUGUGGUGUAGGUUGAAGAUACGGCUCGGAUCCCUGAGUUAACUGUGGCUGUGGCAUAAGCUGGCAGCUGCAGCUCAGAUUUGGCCUGUAGCCCAGGAACUUCCAUGUGCUGCAGGUGUAGCU
rnacentral:lncRNA from 1 species